rnacentral:lncRNA from 1 species
AUGGGGUGCACACUGAGCCUGCCCACUCCCCAUCCAGGGCAUCUUGUCCCCAAAGCCAGUGUCAUGGGGGGAGUGUGGCACCCUAACUGCCAUGUCACCCAGCAUCACCCAGCCUGGCCGUGGCGUGGUGGGGUGGGGGGGUGUCCCAGCACCCUGGCCUGCCCACCCUCCUCCUCCUCUCACCCUGGCUCCCCCAACACAACAGCCACUUCACGUCACCUCCCACGGUGCUCCCGCAGAGCCGCGGCGGCUGGGAAGGUUUGGGGUGGGGGGGGGCCACCAUCGAGCAUAAUGCGGCUAUUGACGGGCGAGCUGGCGGCCCCGGCGCGGCACAAUAGGGCCUUGUCUGCCAGCCCAGCUCCUGCUCCUGCCCAGCACAGUGCCCGCUGUCGGGGUCCCCUCUUCCCUGGACAUCUCAGAGCUCGACCAGGUGCCAGCCCUGCCCGGGGCCAAGCAUGGUGGAGGAGCCAGAGGUGGGAGGGCACCAGCCCGUGGCCGAGCCAGCCAGCAUCCCACCAAGGGGACACGGGGACCUGCCACCCACCCCGGGGAGCUCCACUACCUUGGCUCCCUCACCCCGUGGCCCCCCUUGGUGGGGGCAGCCCGGUAUCCUGCGGCCGCCAUCUCACCUGCUACGGCGUGUGGGCUCCGCUGGAUCUCGCCUGCCUCCUCGCCCGGCGGGUGAGCCCGGGCUGCGGCUGCCGCCUGCUCUUUAAACCCCAAAUCCCCAGUGUCGGGCGCCAGUCCCGCCGGCGGCGGGGGCGGAGGGAGGGGACGUGAAGCCCCGGUCCCUGCUCCCGGGGGGCUGGCAUCAACAAAAGGCGACUGUGUCCCGUGUCCUUCCCAUGCACCCAGCGACCCGGCCAGCCACCCAGGGACAGCCCCUUGGCACCCCGGGGCUCCUCGGGGUGCCACCACCCCCUCCACCAGCCACCCGGGGACAGCCCCUUGGCCCGAGGAGCCCCGGGGUGCCAUCACCCCCUCCGCCAGCCACCCGGGGACAGCCCCUUGGCCCGAGGAGCCCCGGGGUGCCAUCACCCCCUCCGCCAGCCACCCGGGGACAGCCCCUUGGCACCCCGGGGCUCCUCGGGGUGCCACCACCCCCUCCACCAGCCACCCGGGGACAGCCCCUUGGCACCCCAAGGCUCCUCGGGGUGCCACCACCCCCUCUGCCCACGCUGGGAAGACAGGAGAGGCACAGGUGAGCUCCGAUCACCGCCGCAGAGCAUCCCAAUGUCCCCAAGGAGCCAUCCCUGCUUCUUUGGUCCUGUCCCUGCCUGGAGGGAUGCCAGGGGGAAGGUGCUUGUGGCUGCUGUCCCCCAAACCUCAUCUGCUGCCGCAAAGCCCAGCCCAGCGGGGCUGGAGGAGGAGGAGGGAGGGGACAUUUCUGUCACCAUGGUGCCCGAGGCCGGGGGACUCACCCCGUGGGACCCUCAGAGCCCUGCCCGGCUGGGGCCGCGGGGCCGGCUGGCUUCCUGCGAAGCAUCCCUGUGGUCCGAAGGCCAGGAGCGGCCCGUGAUGCCUCAUUAACACAGGGUAAAUGUGUAACGAGCUGGGGCGGUUAGAGCUGCAUGGCUUCUCUCGCCCACCUGGCAUGCCGGGAGCUGGUGGAUUUAUCCCGGUGGGAGCUGCGCAGCCAGGACAAGAGGGAGAAGAAAGGUCUGUCUUGUGGCCGGGGUGACUUCAGCUGGAAGGAGCGGAGCAGGCAACGUGCCGGGCUGGGACGGGAACAAGCCCGUCCCCCGAGGAGGGUGGCUGACCCGCCACCCACGCCUGCCCCUGCCUCGGCAGGGAGGCUCAGGCUCAGCCCACCCGCUGUCGGCAGGGUGAGGGAGCCGGGCUCUGCUCUGCGGUGCCCGCCGGCACGGGAGGCAAUGGGCACCAAUUUAAUAAAAAAACAACACGUGAAAUUCCA